rnacentral:sRNA from 19 species
CUCGCGGAACCUUAAUCCACACACGCAUCGACACGGUCUGUCGGGUGCCCGCCAGGAGGCUUCGGUCUCGUGCUCGGGUUUCAGAUCGGGAUGCGUGGAGGCUCAAC